rnacentral:lncRNA from 1 species
CUUUUGAGUACAUCAGCACCACCCAGAUAAUCCAGGAUAAUCUCCUCAUCUCAAGAUCCUUGACUUGACCACAUCUGCAAGGUCCCUUUUGCUUCAUAAGGUCACACAUCCACUGGGGCAGGGGUUAGGACAUGGACACCUUUGGGGGCCAUUAUUUAGAUUCUCCUUAGCCUUUCCUCAGUGUUUGGCUCACCAAAGAAGCCAACAUCAGGUCAGGUCUGAAAACAUCAUCUGAACAAGCACAACAGGGCUCAUCCUUGGUCAGGGUUUAACUUCCAUUCUUAUCACAGACCCAUCUUCUUCAGGCUCUCUGUCAGAGUUGGCAUUCAUUGUUUUUUUGUUUUUAAUUGGGAUAUAAUUCACAUACAACAAUGUACUGGUUUUAGAUGUACAACAUGAUAAUUUGAUACAAUGAUCACCACAAUAAGUUUAGUUAACAUCCGUCACCUCACAUAGCUACAGUUUUUUUUUCUUUUUAAUUUUCAUUUUUGAAAAAUACUUUUCAAAUGCACAUAGUAAUAUUGCGAAAAAUUCAUACAGAUACAUAUGUAUGUAUAUAUUCAUAUGUAUAUUUAAAUAUAAAAUACCUCAGUAAAUAGCUUCUAUUCGGAUCAUUAAAAAUAUGACUCAGAACAAAAAAGUGUUCCACGUCUUAGUAGUGUUUAGCUAAUACAAUUUCUAUAACUUCAAAAAAAAUUAAAACAAUAAAAAUGUUAAAUAGAUACAUAUUGACAGUUGAAACAGUACCAUUGGUGGCUUUGCCUCCAAACAAUGACUUAGGGAGGAAAAAGUGCACUCGGUACUCAUAUAUGGGUCAUUACAUUUAUUGUGAAAAUACGUUUAUUAAGGUCUGUGAAUUAAUGAAAUUGAAAACAGAGUAAGAUUACCAAACAUCAACAUUUCUUAAUAGCUAGUGUUUGUCUAAGCAACAUAAAAUGACUUUACUACAUGUUGGUCACAGCUUUUAUAAGAACUUCUCUUCCAACAGCUUUUAUUGCCUUUGGUUUUGGACCAUCAAUUAAAGGUCAUAUCAUUUUUGACAACUUAUUUGAGGAGUGUUACAGUGGUUCUAAGCACUUUAAAACGUCCUCUACAUUUAUUUAUGUGUCAAGUGAUUUAAAACCUCAUGAGAGAUCCUGAAUUAGAAUCACCCAUUAAGCUGCUCCAGAAUUUCUGACCCUACAGAAGUCAUAAGGCAAACGAUGUUUUAUUUUGUCAUUUUAGACACUGAGUUUUGAGAU